rnacentral:rRNA from 1 species
GGUAGGGAGACACUCGUGCCUUCCUGCCGAACAACGUACCCCGGCGCGGUCCGCGCCAAGGAACAUGAACGAAAGAGUGCCUCCGGUCGCCACGGAAACGCUGCGCGCACCGGAGGCGAAUCUUGUCUAGAACCAUAACGACUCUCGGCAACGGAUAUCUCGGCUCUCGCAUCGAUGAAGAACGUAGCGAAAUGCGAUACUUGGUGUGAAUUGCAGAAUCCCGCGAAUCAUCGAGUCUUUGAACGCAAGUUGCGCCCGAAGCCACCUGGCCGAGGGCACGUCUGCCUGGGUGUCACGCAUCGUUGCCCCCAACCCCAUCGCCCUGCAAAGAGGCGGUGGGGGCACGCGGGGCGGACAUUGGCCUCCCGUGGGCCGAUGCCUGCGGCUGGCCUAAAAACGAGUCCUCGGCGACGAGCGCCACGACAAUCGGUGGUUGACAAACCCUCGUGACCCGUCGUGCGCGCAUCGUCGCUCAACGCGUGCUCUUUUGACCCUGUCGCGUCGCGCUCGCGACGCUCCAACGCG